GGGGAUUUAGCUCAGUGGUAGAGCGCUUGCCUAGGAAGCGCAAGGCCCUGGGUUAGGUCCCCAGCUCCGGGGGUGGGAGGUGGGGGAAGCACUGACUGCUCUUUCAGAGGUUCUGAGUUCAAAUCCCAGCAACCCCA
rnacentral:tRNA from 1 species